rnacentral:rRNA from 1 species
GACGAACGCUGGCGGCGUGCCUAAUACAUGCAAGUUGAGCGCUGAAGGUUGGUACUUGUACCGACUGGAUGAGCAGCGAACGGGUGAGUAACGCGUGGGGAAUCUGCCUUUGAGCGGGGGACAACAUUUGGAAACGAAUGCUAAUACCGCAUAAAAACUUUAAACACAAGUUUUAAGUUUGAAAGAUGCAAUUGCAUCACUCAAAGAUGAUCCCGCGUUGUAUUAGCUAGUUGGUGAGGUAAAGGCUCACCAAGGCGAUGAUAGAUAGCCGACCUGAGAGGGUGAUCGGCCACAUUGGGACUGAGACACGGCCCAAACUCCUACGGGAGGCAGCAGUAGGGAAUCUUCGGCAAUGGACGAAAGUCUGACCGAGCAACGCCGCGUGAGUGAAGAAGGUUUUCGGAUCGUAAAACUCUGUUGGUAGAGAAGAACGUUGGUGAGAGUGGAAAGCUCAUCAAGUGACGGUAACUACCCAGAAAGGGACGGCUAACUACGUG